GCCAAUGUACUAUAGUGGUUUGAACAGUAGACUAGGACUCUGGAGACCAGGGUUCGAAUCCUUGCUCAGCCA